rnacentral:rRNA from 1 species
AGCAGUGAGGAAUAUUGGUCAAUAGCCUAACAGGCUGAACCAGCAACUUGGAGGAAUGUAUAGGGAAACCGGUAAAAGGAAAUGUACCUAAUAGUAUUAGAAAAUAAUAUGAAAUUAACUAAGUUAAUUAAAAUUCAGAGUAGAUAUGUGAUUAUGACAAUAUCUGCUUAUUUCUUGACAAAGUCACGUGCCAGCAGUCGCGGUAAUACGUGGUAGAUCAGUGUUAUUCAUCUUUAAUGGGUUUAAAGGGUACCUAGACGGUUAAUUAAGCAUAUGAAUGUACUAAUUAUUGACUAGAGUUUAAUGUAAGAAGGAUUGAGUACGGUGAGUGUAGAGAUAGAAUUCUGUGAUACCACUUAGGAACUGGUAAAGGCGAAGGCAACCUUUUAUGUAAAAACUGACGUUAAGGGACGAAGGCUCGUAUUAAAUAACAGGAUUAGAGACCCUAGUAUUGUGGGCAGACAAUGAUGAGUGUCAUAUGCAAGAAAAAAAUAAAAGAUUUUUGUGUAUAAAUGAAAGUGUAAGCACUCCACCUCAAGAGUAACGUGGCAACACGGGAACUGAAAUCAUUAGACCGUUUCUGAAACUCGUAGUGAAGUAUGUUGUUUAAUUUGAUGAUCCACAAAUAACCUUACCACAAUUUGUAUGACUAUAAAACGCUAUAAAAUAAAAACUAAUAAGUUAAAGGUUCGGCUUUGCUUAAUAGUUUUUAAGUAAUAAGUCAAAAUAUCAGGUUUUUGCUUAGUAGUUACAAGCGUUGCACGGCUGUCUUCAGUUAAUGUUGUGAAACUUUGGUUAGAUCCAUUAAAUUGACGUAAACCCUUGCUUUAUUUAUUAUAGAGCAGUUCGCCGCUAUAUUGGUAGUGAUAUAAGGGACUAAGACAAGUCAUCAUGACCUGAACAUUGUGGGCUAUAGACGUGCCACAU